GAGGGAUUAGUUAAAUUAUAAUAUAAGAUUGUCAGUCUUACGUUACUAGUAGAACUAGUAUUUCUUA
rnacentral:tRNA from 1 species